GACGAACGCUGGCGGCGUGCUUAACACAUGCAAGUCGAGCGAUGAAUUUUCUUCGGAAAUGGAUUAGCGGCGAACGGGUGAGGAACACGUGAAGAAUCUGCCCUCCACUUUGGGAUAACACAGGGAAACCUGUGCUAAUACCGAAUAUUGAAACAUAAGUGGCAUCACUGAGUUUUGAAAGAAUUUCGGUGGAGGAUGACUUCGCGGCCUAGCAGCUAGUGGGUGGGGUAAUGGCUCACCAAGGCAACGACGGGUAGCCGGCCCGAGAGGGCGACGGGCCACACUGGGACUGAGACACGGCCCAGACUCCUACGGGAGGCAGCAGUGGGGAAUAUUGGGCAAUGGAGGAAACUCUGACCCAGCGACGCCGCGUGCGGGAUGAAGGCCUUCGGGUUGUAAACCGCUUUCAGUAGGGAAGAAGCGAAAGUGACGGUACCUACAAAAGAAGCACCGGCUAACUAUGUGCCAGCCGCCGCCGUAA
rnacentral:rRNA from 1 species